AAACGUACACAAAAGCCCAUAGGUAGGCUUAGACAAUUUGGGUCAAAGUUAUGGCACGAAAAUCAAGAUAUGAAAUUAAAAUUGCACCAAAAUUGAGCGCUGAAAGAACAAGAAGAAGAAAAGCAAAAUGCUUAAAGCAAGCUAUCAAUUCUAGAUGGCCCCGAAAAUAAAUAGCUUUAACUUGUGACGUCUGCUCGUGAUGACAGGCGCUUCCGAGGGGAAUUCAUUGAAUGGGCAACCAAUAAAAUGGCAAUUGAACGUCUGGGAAUCAACAUGAAUUUACCUUGUAGACUAUAUUUACGGCGCGCGCUCUUUGAUGAGAGUUCUAUAAAUAUGUGACAUAAUGUGCGGUGCGUUGACAUUUGGCUAAAAAUAA